rnacentral:rRNA from 1 species
UACAGAGGUCUCAAGCGUUGUUCGGAUUCAUUGGGCGUAAAGGGUGUGUAGGUGGCGCGCUAAGUCGGGUGUGAAAUUUCGGAGCUUAACUCCGAAACUGCAUUCGAUACUGCGGUGCUUGAGGACUGGAGAGGAGACUGGAAUUCAUGGUGUAGCAGUGAAAUGCGUAGAGAUCAUGAGGAAGACCAGUGGCGAAGGCGGGUCUCUGGACAGUUCCUGACACUGAGACACGAAGGCCAGGGGAGCAAACGGG